GCUCGGUUCAUCUAACGGUUAGGAUACAAGAUUCUCAAUCUUGGCAUAAGAGUUCGAUUCUCUUACCGAGUA
rnacentral:tRNA from 1 species